UGUCGUCCGGUCUCCACUCUCCACUCUCUGCUGCAAGUCUGCAACCGCAGCAGCACGUCCAUUUCACGUGCCCCCUCCUCCCUCCCUUUCCCCUGUUCCCACGCUACCUCCGUUCGCUGCCGCUCGGCCGCGCCGGCGAUGGCGACGACGGAGGGGCUUGUGCCCAUUACGCGGACCUACCUCGCGCGCUACUACGACAACUACCCGCUGCCCCCACUGCCCGACGCCACCACGGACCUCGCCGCGCGGCUUCGCGCCCUCUCCGCCGACCUCGCCGCCGUUGCUCCCAUCACCCCUGAUGAGGAACUCUUAGAACAAGAAGCGGCUGGCAUACCUGCCCACAAAAUCGAUGAGAAUUUGUGGAAGAACCGAGAACAAAUGGAAGAAAUUCUGUUCUUGAUUAACACAUCCCGUCGUCCUGUGGCACUACAACAGAAGUCCACCCCAGAAGAUGCUCAGAUAGUUUGCACACUUGAUGAUAUAGAAGCUAAAUUGAAGGAUAUGUUGAAGAAGUUAGAACAAUUUCAAUUGGAAAAUGCUGACAGUGUUUUCAAUACAGUUAUGACAUACAUGCCCCAAGAUUUUCGAGGUACUUUAAUCAGGCAACAGCGAGAACGCUCAGAGAGAAAUAAGCAAGCAGAGGUAGAUGCUCUGGUUAGUGCUGGUGGAAGCAUUCAUGAUCGAUAUGCAUUGUUAUGGAAACAGCAAAUGGAAAGGAGGGUGCAAUUAGCACAGCUUGGUUCUGCAACAGGUGUAUACAAGACUCUUGUUAGGUAUUUGGUUGGUGUUCCACAGGUUUUAUUGGAUUUUAUUCGACAAAUAAAUGAUGAUAAUGGACCUAUGGAAGAACAAAGAGAACGUUAUGGUCCAGCCCUUUACACCCUUACAAAACUGGUGCUUGCAAUUCGGUUGUAUCUGCAUGUCUCUUUGGCACGAUAUGGACACAGGAAAAUAGAGAAGGAUGACAUUGAUGUGUUGCAGCAAGCUGUAGUUAUCUACACCAAGGAGUUUUUGAAGUUCACUGUAUUCAUUGGUGAGGUCUUUGUGAAUGCGCCAUUCUUUAUAUCUGCUGAGGAUGCAGGUGCCAUGGAUGCAAGAACUGAAAUAUAUUUUCGUCCUCCUCUUUUAGUACGAAAAGUGAUGAGUACAAAGAAAUUAUUAUUCCAGCUGGAAAGACACAUGAGGUCAUUUUGAGUGUUGAAGCUGUAAACUCAUACAUUGCAUGGGACUUCUCCUUGCAACAAGGGGCCCUCAACAUGGUAUUGGACAUUGGGUUUCAUGUGGAGCACAUUAGCCCUUCAGGGGAGAAAACUUUAAUUCUUCCACACCGACGGUAUGAAGCCGACCAAGGUAAUUUUUGCACUGUUUCAUCGGGAUCAUACAAACUUGUAUGGGACAACUCAUAUUCUUCAUUCUUCAAAAAGAUCCUACGUUACAAGGUGGAUGCUGUGCCACCAGUUGUUGAGCCGGCCUUGCCAGCCAUAGUGCUCUGAAGAGGUCUGUCUUAAUAUGAUGUAAUGUAACGAGGGCCGAUGCAUGCAUGCAGUAGCUGAACAAAAUGUAUCUGAAGGCCCCACACGGUGUUGUUCCCAAUUGAUUCAUCGAAUGCUUUGUGGUGUCCUGAUCGCAGGAUUCCCUGAUACAUACAGCUCGCUGUCGGGGCGCAAGAUAUGUAUUUCGUGUGCAUGUUUGGCUGUGGCCACUUGCCACUGACGAAUGCCUAAAUAUAACAUAAGUGUAUUAUAUCGACCAAUAAAAGCAUGUCUGAUUGGAAGGACGUGUUCCCUGGAAAGAGCAUCCAGUUUGGCUACCAAUUGUAGAAUUUCAUGAUGAAAUUAGCUGCAACUCCAAAUUUAGUGCUUCA